rnacentral:rRNA from 1 species
AUUGAGCGCUGGCGGCAUGCCUUACACAUGCAAGUCGAACGGUAACAGGUCUUCGGAUGCUGACGAGUGGCGAACGGGUGAGUAAUACAUCGGAACGUGCCUAGUAGUGGGGGAUAACUACUCGAAAGAGUGGCUAAUAUCGCAUGAGAUCUACGGAUGAAAGCAGGGGAUCGCAAGACCUUGUGCUACUAGAGCGGCCGAUGGCAGAUUAGGUAGUUGGUGGGAUAAAAGCUUACCAAGCCGCGGAGCUGUAGCUGGUCUGAGAGGACGAUCAGCCACACUGGGACUGAGACACGGCACAGACUCCUACGGGAGUCAGCAGUGGGGAAUUUUGGACAAUGUGCGCAAGCCUGAUCAAGCAAUGCCGCGUGCAGGAUGAAGGCCUUCGGGUUGUAAACUGCUUUUGUACGGAACGAAAAGCCCUGGGUUAAUACCCUGGGGUCAUGACGGUACCGUAAGAAUAAGCACCGGCUAACUACGUGCCAGCCGCCGCCGUAAUAC